rnacentral:lncRNA from 1 species
CGCGGGGUCCUCCUACUGAGGAAACAAUGGUGCCAGUGGCGCGGCCGGCGGCCCGCUCCGAUCGCUGCCCCCCGAAGGUAAGAUGCCUGGUGUGGCGGCGGAAGCUGCGCGCUUCAGCUAGUUUGUCAGCACUCGGUUUCGUUCAUUCAUGUGAUACCUGUGCGUCUCAGGAGCUCCGGCCGAGCUGAAAGAGGACUCCAAGUUUGUGCUGUUGAACGCGGACGAUCCCGUGCACGGCCCACCGGUGACGGUGAGUGCUCGCAGCUGUUCUACAUCGUUGCAUGCAUGUCAUGCGAGUACAUGGAAACGCUGAAAAUUACAGCAUAUCAACUCCUAUAUAUGUGAAUUUCAGGCGCUAUUGCUCAUCCGAG